GUUAGGAAUCUUGCGCAAUGGGCGAAAGCCUGACGCAGCAACGCCGCGUGGGGGAUGAAUGCUCUCGGGUUGUAAACCCCUUUCAGCAGGGACGAUUAUGACGGUACCUGCAGAAGAAGGACCGGCCAACUACGUGCCAGCAGCCGCGGUAAUACGUAGGGUCCAAGCGUUGUCCGGAUUUAUUGGGCGUAAAGAGCUCGUAGGCGGUUCGGUAAGUCGGAUGUGAAAACUCAGGGCUCAACCCGGAGACGCCAUCCGAUACUGCUGUGACUUGAGUCUGGUAGGGGAACACGGAAUACCUGGUGUAGCGGUGAAAUGCGCAGAUAUCAGGUGGAACACCGAUGGCGAAGGCAGUGUUCUGGGCCAGUACUGACGCUGAGGAGCGAAAGCGUGGGGAGCAAACAGGAUUAGAUACCCCUGUAGUCC
rnacentral:rRNA from 1 species